rnacentral:rRNA from 1 species
AUGAGGGUGAAGGUGCAGGAGGAUAACACAUGUGUGGAAGUGGACAUUGAGUACAAUCAUAAUCACCAACUCAUGCAAACUGAUGACAUGCUGGUAUUCUUGCACUCACACAAGAAUUAUGACCCCGCUAUUUUGGAGUACGUAAAGCUCCUGCAGUACCAUGAUGUCAAGCAUACAACAAUCAUGUCCAUGCUAUCUGAAAAUGAAGAUGGAAGCUACUUCCUAAGCAUGACCGGACGAGACCUAAUAAACUAGAAAGCCAUGAAUGCAAGGAAAGAUGAUUUGGAUGAUGUAUUGCAACUUGUUUCAUUCUUCAAAGACAUGAAGGCAAUCAAUGAUGAGUUUUUCUGUGACAUACAAGUAGACAAGGACAAGUCAAUUAAAAACAUUUUCUGGUCCAAUGCAAGCAGCCGAGGAGCCUAUCAAGACUUUGGCGAUUGCGUAACAUUUGACAAAACUUACAAGACCACCAUAUUUCAUAUGCCUCUGGGAGUGUUUGUUGGAACAACCCACCACUUGCAGUCAAUGAUAUUUGUUGUUUCCCUUAUCAGAGACGAAGAUGCAAAGUCAUUCAAGUGGUUGUUCGAUACAUUUGUAUGGUGCAUGAACAACAAGCACCCAACUUGCAUUCUAACAGACCAGUGCCCAUCGAUGGCGAAAGCUAUACCACAAUCAUUUCCAAACACCGUCCACAAGCUAUGUCGUUGGCACAUCAUGAAGAAGUAUAGGGAAUACCUCGCGUUGUUGUACAAAAAGUAUAAAACAUUGAAAGGGGAGUUCACAACUAUAUUAAACUGGCCGCUAAUGCCAACGGAGUUUGAAGCUGCCUGGGCUGAACUCAUGCACAAGUACAACCUAGAGAACGACCAGAUGAUGAUGCAGUUGUGGAGUGAUAGGAAAAUAUGGAUUUUGGCAUAUUACAAGAACAUUUUCUGUGCUAGAAUGAAUUCCACACAACGGAGCGAGAGCAUGAACCACGUGCUAAAGAAAGGGUUUGUCAAGGGGACCCAGAACCUACACAAGUUUGCUAGGCGGGUAAAUGCUUGCAUACAAACUUGGAUGCAGAAGGAGAACGAGCAAACAAUGACCAGCAUGACCAAUCCUGUGACAAAAACAACUUACGGCUACGAGGAAGACAUGUAUAUCAAGUACAUGAGAGCCAUGCACACCGAGAUGGGGGCUAGGAUGAGAAAAGCCACGCUAUUUAGCGCAAAGCGUACAGCAGAACCCACUGAGUACCUUGUGUACUACCACAACAAGCCUGGCCAUGAUGAUGAAGAAAGAUUUUCCUGGUCAAAGCAUGAAUUCCAGGUUGUAGCUGACCCAGAGAAUGAAAUAUGCGAGUGUGAAUGCAAGCUUUGGACACACAUAGGCCUGUUAUGCCUUCGCAUCAUGAACAUACUGUACUACCUGAAGCCUGACAAAUUUCCACACAAGUAUAUCCUCAAACGGCAGACGAAGAAUGCAAAAUCACAACCAACCUUUGAUACAAGGGACUACAACACAACUGCAUCGGAUGGCAGCUCAAGACUAUCGAAGCAAGGCAUCUUGCUGCAGCUAAAUUUGAUGGUUAACAAGAAAGCGAUGAGAUGUGACCAGCAAUAUGACAGAGCCUACUAUGUUCUCAAGAGGCUCGUGGAAGAGCUUGAUGCAAUACAUUCAGCAAAUCAAGCGGAUGCUGACAAAAGGAUGGCUGAAGAGGACGCUGAAAUUGAAGAUGAUGUUCAUUAUUAUGCAGAUGAAAUGCUAAAUGUCGCUGCUCAAGCCAACCAAUACAGGCAGGGUGUUGACCAAUCAACGGAGCAGCGACAGGAAGAGAUGAUGAAACUGUCGUUGUACUCUGAAACAAAGGGUAGGAAGAAAAAUUGUGCAGCAAAGAAAAGUGACAAGAGAGCUCAAAUAAAGGCACCACCUGCAUAA